rnacentral:tRNA from 1 species
GAGGGUAUAGCUCUAUGGGUAGAGUGUGUGCUUAGCAUGCAUGAGGUCCUGGGUUAAAUCCACAGUACCUCCA